CAAGUACUCCCUCCGUCCGGAAUUACUUGUCAUCAAAAUGGAUGUGUCUAGAACUAAAAUACAUCUAUAUACAUCCAUUUCAAUGACAAGUAUUUUCGGACGAAGGGAGUACAAG
rnacentral:pre_miRNA from 1 species